UACGUAGGGGGCAAGCGUUGUCCGGAAUCAUUGGGCGUAAAGAGCGCGUAGGCGGCCCAGUAAGUCCGCUCUGAAAGUCAGGGGCUCAACCCCUGAAUGCGGGUGGAUACUGCUGGGCUAGAGUCCGGAAGAGGCGAGUGGAAUUCCUGGUGUAGCGGUGGAAUGCGUAGAGAUCCGGAAGAACACCAGUGGCGAAGGCGGCCCGCUGGGCAGUGGCUGACGCUGAGGCGCGACAGCGUGGGGAGCAAACAGG
rnacentral:rRNA from 1 species